UUUCACGACCCCAUGGCAAUAAAUGC
rnacentral:sRNA from 1 species